GAGAAGCAGACAUUAUUUGAACAAGAUUCUGGAUUCUGAAUUUCACAAAGAAGGUGCAAGGCUAUGAUUUUUUCUUCAAGUUUCAUCAAAUUUUUCUGCAUAAGAUGAAUGAAUGAAUAAGUUACUAACUAACUAACUAAAGACGCCCUCAUCAAGCAGCUUUUACUGGCUGAACCAAGUGUCCUAUGGCCUUCAUCAAGCUGCGCUCUCUCUGAGGUAACCAGAUUUUUUAUCCCAUUGAUAUGUUUUCCAAUUGAAACAGAGAAUCGGUCAGCAAGGAAGGCAUCCUAGAACCAUUCUAGGACCAUGCUAGGAGCCUAAACCUCAAAAAUUCAGAGCAAUGUUUACCAUGGCAAUUUUGAGAAAGGAUCCAAUGAAUUCAAGCCAGUAAGUGUGUGAUGCAGAUUCUGUAUAUCUCUAGGUUCAAACCAAUGAGUCUGAGAUUUCACAUAAAUAAUAACAACCCACUGUUUCUCCUUCAUAUCAUUUGCACAUCUGGUCAAUGAGAUGGAGUAGCUGAUUUUUGCCAUCUCUUCUGUAUGUCUCAUGGCAGGUUCUCUGGGUACCAGUACUGGUCAGUGAGCAGUUCAGAUGGCUAUGUUUUCACCUUCCUGUAAGUUUCACACAGUAAAUGCUGGUGUAACUAUAAAAUAUCUGUGGGUGACCUUUCUGACCCCUGAGUAAUUUUGUUUGCUUUUGAUAUUUAGUCAUAGCAUAUAUUUAUCACCAGAGCAAACUCAGCGUGGAGGCGGGGGAAAAUAUAUUUAAGUAGCUCUUAACUCUUUGAAGCCAAUAGUAUCUGUUUGGUUUUGCUUGUUCACUCCUUGUAGUUCAUAGGAGUGCAACUAUCUCACAGAGGAUAGAUAGUGAUUUUUUCCAUCACUGAUGGAAAGUCAAGAACAUUUCAUCAACACAGAGAAGGUCUGAUCAAAUGAAUAUUUAAGGAUGGGUUUUUUAUUGGGUUUUAUUUGAUGGAAGAUAAGAGGAUCUAUAAAUGGUAAAAUAUCCAACCUUCAGCCCUAGUACCACUCUGCCACUUGCUGAUGUGCUCCUGAGGGGAACUUCAUUAAGGCAUAUGGACCCUAACAUGAUGCCAUCCUGUGUGUCUGAUCUAACACCAGCACAUGGAGCAGGACUCCAGGCUAAUCCAGGGCUCCAACAAGGGCAGCCAUACCAAGGGUGAAGCCAUAGGGGCCUUAGGGGUGUGUGCUGAGGGUCUUGAGCCACUCAUUGCCAUUGCCUCUGCCUGCCCAUUCCUCCCAGCCGUGUGACAAGGAGAGGGGCUGCAUGAACACCUGCAGUGCUGGCACCUAGAGUGAUACAUACCUGUCCUUGGGCUUGAGUGAGCAGAAAGAUUCCCCAUGAAGUCAAAAGAGCUUGUGUGAUCUUUGAUGCCUGCUGGUGUGAGCAUUUCAAGGACAUUGAAGUUAUAGCACCAUCCAGACUGCAAAGAAUAUGGAAACAUUAGUGACCAUCACCCUCACAAGGGGCAGGUGGAAGGAAUGGUUUGUCCUCCUGGGUUGCCACAGGAGGCUUCUCCUCUUAGACAGCUUGCUCAUCUAUAACUGGGGUUGGAAAAUGUAAGCCAAAAUGGAAUCUGCAUUGAAAGAAUUUUGUGGGCUGUACGAAUCAUAAGGGUAACUGCUACACAAAAUACUGUCCACUGAGGCAUAUAUUUUAAAGGUUAGAUAAAAUAUCUCCUAGCCAUUUUUUCCAGUUCUUUUCUUUUUAUAGUCCACUGCAAAACAACAAUAGAUAAAAAGACUGUAUAUAAUGCAUGUAUAUUUUGUUGGGUUUUUUUUUUACCUUUCCCAAAGGAGUCUCUGUGCUUCCCACACUAAUUGUAGGUUUUUCUGAAAAUGCUGCAUGAAUCAUUUAUAAAUAAAGAGACUUUAAAAUCCCUAAAAGACUCCCUGAGGUAUUCAGUAUUUCAGCAUAAAAUAACUGUUAA